GACGAACGCUGGCGGCGUGCCUAAUACAUGCAAGUAGAACGCUGAAGGAGGAGCUUGCUUCUCUGGAUGAGUUGCGAACGGGUGAGUAACGCGUAGGUAACCUGCCUGGUAGCGGGGGAUAACUAUUGGAAACGAUAGCUAAUACCGCAUAAGAGUAGAUGUCGCAUGACAUUUGCUUAAAAGGUGCAAUUGCAUCACUACCAGAUGACCCUGCGUUGUAUUAGCUAGUUGGUGAGGUAACGGCUCACCAAGGCAACGAUACAUAGCCGACCUGAGAGGGGGAUCGGCCACACUGGGACUGAGACACGGCCCAGACUCCUACGGGAGGCAGCAGUAGGGAAUCUUCGGCAAUGGACGGAAGUCUGACCGAGCAACGCCGCGUGAGUGAAGAAGGUUUUCGGAUCGUAAAGCUCUGUUGUAAGAGAAGAACGAGUGUGAGAGUGGAAAGUUCACACUGUGACGGUAUCUUACCAGAAAGGGACGGCUAACUACGUG
rnacentral:rRNA from 1 species